CCAGUACUUUAGCGGAGAUGCAUUGGUGCCUUCGGGAACUCUGAGACAGGUGCUGCAUGGCUGUCGUCAGCUCGUGUUGUGAAAUGUUGGGUUAAGUCCCGCAACGAGCGCAACCCUUAUCCUUGUUUGCCAGCACUUCAGGUGGGAACUCCCGGGAAACUGGCGGGGAUAAACCGGAAGAAGGGGGGGACCACCUCCAGUCCUCCUGGCCCUUACCAAUAGGGCUACCCACCUGCUACAAUGGCGCAUACCGAAGGCCGCCAACUUGCGAGAGUGAACGAAUCCCAAAAAGUGCGUCCUAAUCCGGAAUGGAGUCUGCCACUCCACUCCCUGAAGUCCGAAUCCCUAGUAAUCCUAAAUCAAAAUGCUUCCGUGAAUACCUUCCCCGGUCUUGGACCCCCCGAA
rnacentral:rRNA from 2 species